CGUACGCUUCUUUUUCCACCGGAGCUUGCUCCACCGGAAAAAGAGGAGUGGCGAACGGGUGAGUAACACGUGGGUAACCUGCCCAUCAGAAGGGGAUAACACUUGGAAACAGGUGCUAAUACCGUAUAACAAUCGAAACCGCAUGGUUUUGAUUUGAAAGGCGCUUUCGGGUGUCGCUGAUGGAUGGACCCGCGGUGCAUUAGCUAGUCGGUGAGGUAACGGCUCACCAAGGCCACGAUGCAUAGCCGACCUGAGAGGGUGAUCGGCCACAUUGGGACUGAGACACGGCCCAAACUCCUACGGGAGGCAGCAGUAGGGAAUCUUCGGCAAUGGACGAAAGUCUGACCGAGCAACGCCGCGUGAGUGAAGAAGGUUUUCGGACCGUAAAACUCUGUUGUUAGAGAAGAACAAGGAUGAGAGUAACUGUUCAUCCCUUGACGGUAUCUAACCAGAAAGCCACGGCUAACUACGUGCCAGCAGCCGCGGUAAUACGUAGGUGGCAAGCGUUGUCCGGAUUUAUUGGGCGUAAAGCGAGCGCAGGCGGUUUCUUAAGUCUGAUGUGAAAGCCCCCGGCUCAACCGGGGAGGGUCAUUGGAAACUGGGAGACUUGAGUGCAGAAGAGGAGAGUGGAAUUCCAUGUGUAGCGGUGAAAUGCGUAGAUAUAUGGAGGAACACCAGUGGCGAAGGCGGCUCUCUGGUCUGUAACUG
rnacentral:rRNA from 1 species